GACGGGGGAUGCGAGCGUUAUCCGGAAUGAUUGGGCGUAAAGGGUCCGCAGGUGGCCCGGUCAGUCCGCUGUCAAAGCCUGGGGCUCAACCCUGGAGAGGCGGCGGAGACCACCGGGCUUGAGUCCGGUAGGGGCAGAGGGAAUUCCCGGUGGAGCGGUGAAAUGCGCAGAUAUCGGGAGGAACACCUAUGGCGAAGGCAGCUCGCUGGGACGUUACUGACGCUGAGACGCGAAAGCGUGGGGAGCAAACAGG
rnacentral:rRNA from 1 species